AAACCAACAGGGAUUGCCCUAGUAACGGCGAGUGAAGCGGCAACAGCUCAAAUUUGAAAUCUGGCUCUUUCAGAGUCCGAGUUGUAAUUUGCAGAGGGCGCUUUGGCGUCGGCAGCGGUCCAAGUUCUUUGGAACAGGACGUCACAGAGGGUGAGAAUCCCGUACGUGGUCGCUAGCCUUCGCCGUGUAAAGCCCCUUCGACGAGUCGAGUUGUUUGGGAAUGCAGCUCUAAAUGGGAGGUAAAUUUCUUCUAAAGCUAAAUACUGGCCAGAGACCGAUAGCGCACAAGUAGAGUGAUCGAAAGAUGAAAAGCACUUUGGAAAGAGAGUCAAAUAGCACGUGAAAUUGUUGAAAGGGAAGCGCUUGCAGCCAGACUUACCUGUAGUUGCUUAUCUGGACUUUUGUCCAGUGCACUCUUCUACGGGUAGGCCAGCAUCAGUUUGGGCGGUUGGAUAAAGGUCUCUGUCACGUACCUCCCUUCGGGGUGGCCUUAUAGGGGAGACGUCAUGCAACCAGCCUGGACUGAGGUCCGCGCAUCUGCUAGGAUGCUGGCGUAAUGGCUGUAAGCGGC
rnacentral:rRNA from 4 species